rnacentral:rRNA from 1 species
UACGUAGGGUGCAAGCGUUUAAUCGGAAUUACUGGGCGUAAAGCGUGCGUAGACGGUUAUGUAAGUCAGAUGUGAAAGCCCCGGGCUUAACCUGGGAAUGGCAUUUGAGACUGCAUAGCUAGGGUGCGGAAGAGGGAAGCGGAAUUUCCGGUGUAGCGGUGAAAUGCGUAGAUAUCGGAAGGAACACCAGUGGCGAAAGCGGCUUCCUGGUCCAGCACCGACGUCAGGCACGAAAGCGUGGGGAGCAAACAGG